rnacentral:rRNA from 1 species
AGUGAACGCUGGCGGUAGGCCUAACACAUGCAAGUCGAACGGCAGCACAGUAAGAGCUUGCUCUUACGGGUGGCGAGUGGCGGACGGGUGAGGAAUACAUCGGAAUCUACUUUUUCGUGGGGGAUAACGUAGGGAAACUUACGCUAAUACCGCAUACGACCUACGGGUGAAAGCAGGGGAUCUUCGGACCUUGCGCGAUUGAAUGAGCCGAUGUCGGAUUAGCUAGUUGGCGGGGUAAAGGCCCACCAAGGCGACGAUCCGUAGCUGGUCUGAGAGGAUGAUCAGCCACACUAGAACUGAGACACGGUCCAGACUCCUACGGGAGGCAGCAGUGGGGAAUAUUGGACAAUGGGCGCAAGCCUGAUCCAGCCAUACCGCGUGGGUGAAGAAGGCCUUCGGGUUGUAAAGCCCUUUUGCUGGGAAAGAAAAGCAGCAGGUUAAUACCCCGCUGUUCUGACGGUACCCAAAGAAUAAGCACCGGCUAACUUCGU